CACAAAUGGUUAUUGUUUUUGACUUGUCUACCUACUUAGUUUUCAGUGAUCCAUGUUAUUUGACAUAUACUAUAUGGGUUUGUAGCUCAGCUGGUUAGAGCACACCCCUGAUAAGGGUGAGGUCGAUGGUUCGAGUCCAUUCAAACCCACCAUUAAGAUCACUUAUCUGGGGAAUUAGCUCAGCUGGGAGAGCGCCUGCCUUGCACGCAGGAGGUCAGCGGUUCGAGCCCGCUAUUCUCCACCAGAACGUGUAAAAUCAGCACUUAAAGUCUGAUUCAAGUAUUCAGUAGAGUAUUUGAAUUAGACUUUAAACGUCUAAAUGUUAUUUGAAUUAUUAUUGUUAAGUCGUCAACUAAAUGUGUUAAUCAUAGAGUAAUCUAUGAAGUAAUGUAAUUAAACGUAACUACAAAAUCAUUUUACUGUCUUAUUUUUAAUAAGGCGGUGAAGCGCAAAUUAGAAUAAAGAUAUUACGUCUCAUAACUGCUAUUGAUGCAAAAGCGAUAGUAGGAGCGUAAUUGAAAAAGAUAUUAAGAGCCAUAGGUGGAUGCCUUGGCUGGUAGAGGCGAUGAAAGACGUACUAGGCUGCGAUAAGCCUCGGGGAGCUGCCAAGAAGCUUUG
rnacentral:misc_RNA from 1 species